rnacentral:rRNA from 1 species
UAAAAAAAGGUAAGCUACUAAGAGCGAAUGGUGGAUGCCUUGACUGGUAAAGGCGAUGAAGGACGUACUAGACUGCGAUAAGCUACGGGGAGCUGUCAAGAAGCUUUGAUCCGUAGAUUUCCGAAUGGGGCAACCCAAUGUAUAGAGAUAUACAUUACCUAUAUAGGAGCGAACGAGGGGAAUUGAAACAUCUUAGUACCCUCAGGAAAAGAAAUCAAUAGAGAUUGCGUCAGUAGCGGCGAGCGAAAGCGCAAGAGGGCAAACCCAGUGCUUGCACUGGGGGUUGUAGGACUGCAAUGUGCAAGAGGUAAGUUUAGCAGAACAUUCUGGAAAGUAUAACCAUAGAGGGUGAUAGUCCCGUAUGCGAAAAACAAACCUUAGCUAGCAGUAUCCUGAGUAGGGCGGGACACGAGGAAUCCUGUCUGAAUCCGGGUCGACCACGAUCCAACCCUAAAUACUAAUACCAGAUCGAUAGUGCACAAGUACCGUGAGGGAAAGGUGAAAAGAACUGAGGUGAUCAGAGUGAAAUAGAACCUGAAACCAUUUGCUUACAAUCAUUCAGAGCCCUAUGUAGCAAUACAGGGUGAUGGACUGCCUUUUGCAUAAUGAGCCUGCGAGUUGUGGUGUCUGGCAAGGUUAAGCAAACGCGAAGCCGUAGCGAAAGCGAGUCUGAAUAGGGCGCUUAGUCAGAUGCUGCAGACCCGAAACGAAGUGAUCUAUCCAUGAGCAAGUUGAAGCUAGUGUAAGAACUAGUGGAGGACUGAACCCAUAGGCGUUGAAAAGCCCCGGGAUGACUUGUGGAUAGGGGUGAAAGGCCAAUCAAACUUCGUGAUAGCUGGUUCUCUCCGAAAUAUAUUUAGGUAUAGCGUUGUGUCGUAAUAUAAGGGGGUAGAGCACUGAAUGGGCUAGGGCAUACACCAAUGUACCAAACCCUAUCAAACUCCGAAUACCUUAUAUGUAAUCACAGCAGUCAGGCGGCGAGUGAUAAAAUCCGUCGUCAAGAGGGAAACAACCCAGACUACCAGCUAAGGUCCCUAAAUCUUACUUAAGUGGAAAACGAUGUGAAGUUACUUAAACAACCAGGAGGUUGGCUUAGAAGCAGCCAUCCUUUAAAGAAAGCGUAAUAGCUCACUGGUCUAGUGAUUUUGCGCGGAAAAUAUAACGGGGCUAAAGUAAGUACCGAAGCUGUAGACUUGCGCACAACUUAGAUUAUUUAAGUUUAGAAUAUGAGAAACUAAGUUAUGUUUAGUUAUAUUUUUACUGAUUUUUAUAGAGUAAAGAUAGAAAUAAAACUUAGUAAAAUCAGUAAAAAUAUUCUUAGGCUAAAGUUAAGUAGUUUAAGUUGUGUGCAAGUGGUAGGAGAGCGUUCUAUUUGCGUCGAAGGUAUACCGGUAAGGAGUGCUGGAGCGAAUAGAAGUGAGCAUGCAGGCAUGAGUAGCGAUAAUUAAUGUGAGAAUCAUUAACGCCGUAAACCCAAGGUUUCCUACGCGAUGCUCGUCAUCGUAGGGUUAGUCGGGUCCUAAGUCGAGUCCGAAAGGGGUAGACGAUGGCAAAUUGGUUAAUAUUCCAAUACCAACAUUAGUGUGCGAUGGAAGGACGCUUAGGGCUAAGGGGGCUAGCGGAUGGAAGUGCUAGUCUAAGGUCGUAGGAGGUUAUACAGGCAAAUCCGUAUAACAAUACUCCGAGAACUGAAAGGCUUUUUGAAGUCUUCGGAUGGAUAGAAGAACCCCUGAUGCCGUCGAGCCAAGAAAAGUUUCUAAGUUUAGCUAAUGUUGCCCGUACCGUAAACCGACACAGGUGGGUGGGAUGAGUAUUCUAAGGCGCGUGGAAGAACUCUCUUUAAGGAACUCUGCAAAAUAGCACCGUAUCUUCGGUAUAAGGUGUGGUUAGCUUUGUAUUAGGAUUUACUCCGAAAGCAAGGAAACUUACAACAAAGAGUCCCUCCCGACUGUUUACCAAAAACACAGCACUCUGCUAACUCGUAAGAGGAUGUAUAGGGUGUGACGCCUGCCCGGUGCUCGAAGGUUAAUUGAUGGGGUUAGCAUUAGCGAAGCUCUUGAUCGAAGCCCGAGUAAACGGCGGCCGUAACUAUAACGGUCCUAAGGUAGCGAAAUUCCUUGUCGGUUAAAUACCGACCUGCAUGAAUGGCGUAACGAGAUGGGAGCUGUCUCAAAGAGGGAUCCAGUGAAAUUGUAGUGGAGGUGAAAAUUCCUCCUACCCGCGGCAAGACGGAAAGACCCCGUGGACCUUUACUACAGCUUGACACUGCUACUUGGAUAAGAAUGUGCAGGAUAGGUG